rnacentral:rRNA from 1 species
UACGAAGGGAGCUAGCGUUGUUCGGAAUCACUGGGCGUAAAGCGCACGUAGGCGGAUGUGUCAGUCAGGGGUGAAAUCCCGGAGCUCAACUUCGGAACUGCCCUUGAUACAGCACGUCUUGAGUCCGGAAGAGGUGAGUGGAAUUCCUAGUGUAGAGGUGAAAUUCGUAGAUAUUCGCAAGAACACCAGUGGCGAAGGCGGCUCACUGGCCCGAUACUGGCGCUGAGGUGCGAAAGCGUGGGGAGCAAACAGG